rnacentral:tRNA from 1 species
GCCAGGGUAGCUCAGUUGGUAAGAGCGCAGCACUCAUAACGCUGAGGUCGUGGGUUCGAAUCCCACCCCUGGCACCA